GUGGGUCUAAUGGGAAAUUAAAAAUGGCUAACAACCCUGAAUCAGCCAAACUAAUGGAGAGAGCUGCUGCAGCAGUUCUGGACCGAGCCAGAUCUGCACCUAAACCGCCAACGAGAACAUAAACAGAGGAGCUGCAUGACGGUUCCAUAACCGGCAAGUCUAAUGAGCGAUUGGGGGGUGGGGGGUGGGACAUGGACUGGCAAGGAUCAUAAAACAUUCCUCAAUUAAAAAGCAUUCCCACAAGUUUACCCUCCACCGAAUGGUCUGUUAUCGCACAACCUAUAAUGUAUCUUGACGGUGUGAGUUUAUAGUUUUCCUUGAGGAGAUUUAUGCCGAGCUGUAAAAUCUGAUAAUAAGUCUGGUUGUUUGACUGAGAAAUAAAUUUGGACGCAGAUACCCCUGCCACAGAUGCUCCCAUGACAACUUUCUGUUGUUGUUGUUGUUGCUAUUUUUAUCAAAUGUCCUUUUGGAUGACAGAAGAGAAGCAUGCACCAUGAUGAAACAAUGAAUUUGGGUUCAUUACGGGUAAUCCCAGGAAACUCAAAAAAACACUGAUAUGUUGUUUUUUUAAUAAUUUGAAUCAGUGUUGUUCUUUUCAAACCAUUAAAAACUCAGAGGAGUUUUGUGUUGUUGUGAUUGUGAUGUGCCAAAUGUGUAAAAUGUGAUUUUUUGAACAGUUUUUUACACAACACACCAUCGGUUCUGGACCUGUUUGUACAAGCACCCCUGACAGUAUUAUUGAGGGCUUUUGCAGUCCUGCCCCCACAGUGAGCCUGAGUGGGAACACCAUGAAGAUGGAAGACAGAACCAUCACCAGGAGGAUGUUAUCUGUUAUUAUUUCAUCUUUUCCAAUACCAUCUGGUAAUCCUUAGAAAUAUUUUGCAACCCCCAAUGGAGUCAAGACUAGGGCUGGGCGAUAUGGCCUCAAAUCAAUAUCACGAUAUUUUGAUCAGUUCACCUUGAUAACGAUAAAUGGAUGAUAACUUCUCCACAAGCUGCUCACCCCCUCCCACAUUAACUUCUUCUACUUCAGCCGCUACAACUUUCUCUCCGUCCUCCAUCUCCUCACCUGUCUUUCCCUCUUUGUUACAGACUGGAUGGGGCGGAGUCACGUCUCUGACGUAGGACAGCGUCUUAAAGGGACAUGAGACCAUAGCCUACCUACACACAUCCAAAACCAACUUUGUAUUUAUUUAGUUUUUUGACACAGAAUAUAUUGACAUGGGCAAAAUGACGUCGGUUAUUGUUGUAAAUUUCGGUAUCUGUGAAUUUUUGGUUUAUCGUCCAGCCCUAGUCAAGACCCUAAGGUCUUAGAGCUGUAGUGGAAACAAGG